UGUUGAUAACACAUAUGUGUCUUUUGUAUAAAGUUUUGACAUUUUUCUGUGUUUUAAUUAAGCAUCUCUGUUUGGGUAAUACAAUUUACAUUAUUAUAGAAAUUAAUAUCAAAUUUUAUCAUUAGCAAAAAUACAGUUUAAAAUAUUUUGUGUUCAUUGAACCUAAUUCAAAAUUGCUUUGAAUAUCUCAAAUGUAUAACUUAAGUAUAUCAAUGUAAAAAAGGUAAAUUAUACAUUUAUUUAAUUAUAUAUUAAAAUAUUUUAAGAAAAUAUAGCUCAUAUUUUGUAAAUGAUCUCUAAAUGUUUAGUGUAUUUAGAAAUGAAAUUUAUGAGUUAAGUCAUUUAUAUUUUUUCUUUUAUUUAUUUAUAUGAAACAAGAUUUUUGAAAAAAAAUUCUGUUGAUAGUGUAAAUCUAUCAUUAGUAUUAUAUACUGUCAAUAUUUUAUGUAUAUAGUUCAACUUACACCUUUGAGAGAUGUGUUAAAUAUAAAUAUAAUACAACAUUA